GGCAGGUCUGAGCUGGUCUCCUCUCCCCAAGUUUCCUCCUGCUUCCCUUAGACUGCAGCUCAAAGGGAGGAUGCUGUGGAGGACAGGUCACGGUGCCCUGACAGCCAACAGCUCCUGUUCUGAGGAUGUGGAAACCUCCUUUCAACUGCUCACAGAGACUGUCUCCAGGGCUGGACAUCUCCUAGCAGCAGCAGGGGGCUGGAUGGAGGAACCUCUGGUGCCGCAGAGGAUGGGUGGAGAUUGGAGGAACCUUCCUGAUCCCUGCAGAAGUCCGUCUGGCCCCUGGAGCAAGAGACUGAUUAAUCAUUGUGUGAAUAAUUGCAGGGCACUGCAGACAGUCUGUUCCCAACAGCCUAUGAAAGGAAGGGAGAAGGUGGACAAGGGUCCCUGCAGGCCAGGGGAAGUCACUCACCCUGGCCCGUUUGCACAUCACCCUCAGAGCUGCUCCAGGAGCUGGAUUAAAUGGUUUCUUUCUUACAGAGUGAUGUAAUCUCUUUACUAAGGCUGAGCCCAUCAUCUCCCUGGGAAAAGCUCUUCCAACCUUCACAUGGUUUCACCUCUAGGACACUUGGCUUUCAACUUAAGGCUCAAUCUGACCCUCUUCAGCUCCAGCCAUGAACUUGUUACACCUUUCUGUGGGAUUUAAUGGUUCCUCACUAUCUUCUCCACACAGGAGGACAUAGGCCAGGUCCUAGAUCACCUAACAACAUCAUUAGGUCUGGCUUUCCAGCCUGUGGUCAGGUCUGUGGUCAGGUCUCUGGGUAUGUCCCUGCAUUUGUUUGAGUGUGGGUGACAGAUGCAGUGCUCUGAUAGUGAACUUCCCUUUGAGACACCCUCAGCUGGGCCCACCAAGUUCACCUGGGGGGACCUAAUUGCACUAAUUCCCCUUUCCGGACAAAACUGCAUCAUUGGAUGAGGCAAAUACUCAUGCAAGAGCUUUCAGUGAGUUCCCUUGGUUGCUGGUGGGAAGCCAGUGUUCAUAUCUCCACCUGUAUAAGCAUGCCUAGAGUCAUUGCUUUCCAAGGUCUAGCCUGGAGGCUUGACAUGCAAGCUUCACUUCCAGAUAUAUUCCUGUGUUUAUCUGUAUUCAAAUGCACCCUGACCAUUUAACCAGGUGAUUCGGCAGGAAACCAUUCCUCAUUCCUUUCUAUCUCAUCACUCUCGGUGUCAUUUUCAAGCUUUACCAGCAAAGAUUUCAUAUCUUCAGCUACAUCACUGAUAAAAAUGUUUAAUAGCAGUGGACGAAGAACAGGUCCCCGGGGGAGGUAGGUAGAAAUAGUGCUACUUACUGAUAUCUACCCAUUAGCAACCACCUCUGAGAUCUGCCAGGGAAGCAGUUUUAAUCCAUCUAAUAUGUGCCCUGUUAAUUCCUUAUAAUUCAAGUUUUAAUCAAAAUGUCAGGUGGAAGUAAGUCAAAUGCCUCGGAGAGAUCCGAGUCUACUGUAUCAACACAAUUGCCUUUCUCAUCCUCACUGGGAAUCCUGUCAGAAAGAGGACAAUAGAUCUGUGUGACAAGCCUCACCCUCCAUGCCAUGCUGGUUGGGGCUCCUGACUCUGGGCACCUCACGUCUUCAUUUGUUCCUUGACACAGGGAUCCAUGUGUGGAUUGAAAACCCACCAGAGACCAGCAAAGCCCUCUCUGAGCAAUGCCCUCACCCCCUUCUCCUGCCUUUUUACCCAUGUUUCCCCCUCGUUUGCAGUGAUAUUCUGGGGACGGUGAUCCCUGAGGAAGGGGAUGAGCUUUGAAGGCUGGAUGAGGAGGUCGGUGAUGCUCAGCCCCAAGGGUCCAUCCCAGGAGGAGCUUCCAGCAUGGCAAUGGUGCAGCCCUGAGAUGCGAGGUGGGUUGAGCGCUGUGGGAGGACCAAGAGCUCAGGGGCUUCCCCGGCUUGCAGGAUCUUUCAUCCUCCGUCACCACCGAGCCGGGCCAGACCUGCGUUUGCAGCAGCCCACAGAAGCUGCCUCUGUUGUCUUAUUUUUGUUAUUUUUGAGAGCAUAUUUUAGCGCUGAGCACAUUCCCUCCUGUUGCCAUGGCAGCCGUGACAGGGGUUAUAUACCGUGAGAAAAAUACCAAAAUUAAUGAGUGAGUGAAAGUGCAGCCAAGAGAAAAACAAGGUUAAAAAAAGAGUUAAAACAGUAAUAAAAACAACCUCCCAAGAACUCGGCA
rnacentral:lncRNA from 14 species